UUCACUGAGGCGGUAACUUGAAAGGCUCGUGGUUUGUAGAGAUUCACCUCGUUUUGAGGGGGCGCGCGGCUCGUCGAGUUUAACAUGAGGAGAUGAGAGAAGCUCCAGUUCAUUCACUGUCAGAUCCUUUCCACGCCGCGGGACCUGCUGAAGUUUGAACCAAACCACUUUUAUGUGAGGACACAGAGUAUGGACGUUGCAUAAAAAUGGACUAUUUUGGAUAAAUGUGGACUCUUUUGUACCACGAUUUUGAGCCUAUAGGUGUACAUUUGGAUUUAGAUUAUUAUUCGUUUUUUCUAUAAAAUCCUGAUGCGGUAAAGGGAUGAAGGAUCGCUUCAUUCAUGUUUUCUUAGUGUGUGUGAGGAGAGAAAUGAUCUUGCGCACUGGUUUGCGGGUUUGAUUUUUUUAAUUUAAUGGAUUAGCAGCGUCAAUAACUUAUUAAUAGGAGCUCGUUUGAUUUCAUAGAGUCGGGUUUAGAUUUUUCGUCUCUGACUUUUGAAGAGUUUAUCCUUUGAGAGAUUUGUCUAUGGAAAGGCAUGUUCCCUGGCUUCUCGCCGGUUGGAGCAUCUUUGCGGCUCCGGUCGGAAAGGUUUCGCCUGCGCUGGGACACAUUUAGACCACAGGGGAGAUGAGAGCCGUGCUGAUCCACUUUCUCUUCUGCUGCUUCUCCCUGCUUUCAGCAGCCGCUGAGGAAGCACCAAUUCCGCAAGAGCUGAUUGAAAGACUGUCUAACAGCGAGAUCCGCAGCAUCAGCGACCUCCAGAGGAUCCUGGAGAUUGACUUCGUAGAGAAUGAAGUG